AUGGAGAGAGUUGAUAGACAGGACUGCCAUGUAUUUGUGAACACCCGAGGCUUAAUGUACCCUAGACUGCCGGUAUUCUUGUGUUCCAUCCAGCAAAAUAUGUUGCGCGGCACAAAGAAGAGUGAAAGUAUUAAAUUCUUCCCCAAGUGUUCUCCGAAGGCCCAGAAUUCAGAGCUGCCGCUAAAGGGCACGGCAGCUCCUCCGAUUCUCAUUCUCGCCGAGUUCGAAUCGUCCUUUACGUGAGGAUCGUCGCUCCGGAUCCAUCCGGGAGCCUCGCAACAGCCCGUCGUGUUCGUCGUCCCCGGUUCGGGACCAUCUUUCUUAGACCGAGCCUGGGCCCGUGUUACGGUGAAGGCAGAUCGAGCAGGAGCUCGACGUUCGAGCGUCUAACCCUACCCACGAAGGCGCCGAAAUCGCGGAGGAAAUCUUUGCUUUUGCGCUCCGUGGUAGCCAGCUCAUUUCAAGGUACAUUGCGCGGAGAGGGA
rnacentral:lncRNA from 1 species